AGAACGAACGCUGGCGGCGUGGAUAAGACAUGCAAGUCGAACGAGAUUUUUCGUUGUAGCAAUACGAUGGAAAAUUUAGUGGCGAACGGGUGCUUAACACGUGGGCAACCUGCCAAGAAGUGGGGGAUAGCUCGCCGAAAGGCGAAUUAAUACCGCAUGUGAUUAGAGAGGACAUCUUUUCAAAAUUAAAGUCGGGGCAACCUGACGCUUCUUGUGGGGCCCGCGGCCUAUCAGCUAGUUGGUGAGGUAAAGGCUCACCAAGGCUUUGACGGGUAGCUGGUCUGAGAGGACGACCAGCCACACUGGGACUGAGACACAGCCCAGACACCUACGGGUGGCAGCAGUCGAGAAUUUUGACAAUGGGGAACCCUGAUCCAGCCAUGCCGCGUGAGUGAUGAAGGCCCUAGGGUUGUAAAGCUCUUUGUGCGGGAAGAUAAUGACGGUACCGCAAGAAUAAGCCCCGGCUAACUUCGUGCCAGCAGCCGC
rnacentral:rRNA from 1 species